rnacentral:rRNA from 1 species
GAUGAACGCUGGCGGCGUGCCUAAUACAUGCAAGUCGAGCGAACGGACGAGAAGCUUGCUUCUCUGAUGUUAGCGGCGGACGGGUGAGUAACACGUGGAUAACCUACCUAUAAGACUGGGAUAACUUCGGGAAACCGGAGCUAAUACCGGAUAAUAUUUUGAACCGCAUGGUUCAAAAGUGAAAGACGGUUUUGCUGUCACUUAUAGAUGGAUCCGCGCUGCAUUAGCUAGUUGGUAAGGUAACGGCUUACCAAGGCAACGAUGCAUAGCCGACCUGAGAGGGUGAUCGGCCACACUGGAACUGAGACACGGUCCAGACUCCUACGGGGGGCAGCAGUAGGGAAUCUUCCGCAAUGGGCGAAAGCCUGACGGAGCAACGCCGCGUGAGUGAUGAAGGUCUUCGGAUCGUAAAACUCUGUUAUUAGGGAAGAACAUAUGUGUAAGUAACUGUGCACAUCUUGACGGUACCUAAUCAGAAAGCCACGGCUAACUACGUG